rnacentral:rRNA from 1 species
GAUGAACGCUGGCGGCGUGCUUAACACAUGCAAGUCGAACGAAGCACUUUAUUUGAUUUCUUCGGAAUGAAGAUUUUGUGACUGAGUGGCGGACGGGUGAGUAACGCGUGGGUAACCUGCCUCAUACAGGGGGAUAACAGUUGGAAACGACUGCUAAUACCGCAUAAGCGCACAGGGUCGCAUGACCUGGUGUGAAAAACUCCGGUGGUAUGAGAUGGACCCGCGUCUGAUUAGCCAGUUGGUGGGGUAACGGCCUACCAAAGCGACGAUCAGUAGCCGACCUGAGAGGGUGACCGGCCACAUUGGGACUGAGACACGGCCCAAACUCCUACGGGAGGCAGCAGUGGGGAAUAUUGCACAAUGGGGGAAACCCUGAUGCAGCGACGCCGCGUGAGCGAAGAAGUAUUUCGGUAUGUAAAGCUCUAUCAGCAGGGAAGAAGAAAUGACG